AAAUUUGCCUCUUACAAUAACUGACAGUCUUCCGUCUCCCACAUCCAGAGAAUGUUUCCUUUGGUUCGGCUGAUCGUGUCACGUUCCUUGAUGUUAUAGAAAGGUGAAGACCGGGCUUAAAGUGAAACCUCUGACUACAUUUUGCUGCACCCUGACAUUGACUAACAGAGGGACGCCACGGCUCAGCUGCCAGGUGGCUGUCCCCACAUGCAUCCUGAGGGCAGGCCAGCUGCGGCUCAGACGUCCUUGCUUCCUUCCCCAGCCUGUGGACUGGAGCCCAGCUGAGGGUCAGGCUUUGCUCACAGACCGGCCACUCAACCGCAGCCUUGCUCAACCCCCCGGCCACCACGGCUCCUGCGUGUGGAAGGUGCUGCUGAACAUCGUGCGGUUAUAAAUCCUCGGCAACUCAGAUUCCUGGCUUUCAGCUUAACGAUAAUCACCUGUACUCCACGCCUUCUAAAAUGCCAGGCACCAGGCUCAUCCCAUCACAAACACCCUCCUGCCAUCCUCAGAACAGCAGGAGGUAGGUACUGUGAUUUCUCCCAUUUUCAGAUGAGCAGACAGCCUUAGAGAGGCUAAGCUGCUUCCCCGUGGUCCUGUGAAAUGAGUGCACCCCUAACCACUGGGACACACCACCUCUGACAGCGGCUGACUGAGCCCACCCACAAGCCCGGCCCUGGCCAUGCCGCUCACAGCAGGAAGCCAGCCUUCCCUGAGAAGUUAUGAGGAUCCUGUGUUUCCUGCAGAGCUGAGGGGCUGUUCUUCCACAUCCAAGUCCAAGCGUGUGCCAGGGCUGGAGCGCUGGGCGGCCCUCACGGGUCUGUCCCUAACGAGAUCUCAGGAGAACCCCGGCCCUCACUGGGGAGAGGCCCCAGGGAGAGGCCCACAUGGGCCUGAGGGUCAUCUGUGCUGGGGCUACCACUUACAGGAGCCGUGCUGUCCACGGGGGACCCCGAAGCGCUCAAGAAUGAGAAGGCUAGACCUCUGGAAGCCUCCAGGCUGGGCGAGGACAUCCUCUUGAAGAGGCACCAGUGUGACAUGAUGGUGGACAGUUCCCUCUGGGCACUCAGGGCCCAGCAUCCCACAGACCAGAUCCUGAAGUGGCAGCCCUGUGUGUGGAGGGCAGCGGGAAGCAGCUCGCACCUGCUCGGGCAGGAGCAGCACGGUUCAUCUUACCCCUUUGAGGACCUGCUUCCAAGAAACACAAAAAGAAACAUUCUGAGGACUGGGUAUUUUUCCACUUGGCAAACGUCUGUGAUUUGUAGGACACAUGGUACUCUGUCCCGACUCUGGUCCUUUCCUUCUUCCUCCACCCACGAUCCUGUCCGCCUGGCUCAGGCCGAGGGCCCAGGUCAGCUGCACACUCAGCUCUGGGCCUGUGUCCCUCAAUGGGAGGACCAUGGAGAGCGCAAGGAGAGGGGCCGCCCAGCUGCCACCAGAGCCAGCAAAGUUUCUCGAAAAGCAAACGUCCACCUUGGUUUCUCUGGAGCCAGUAGGUGUCAGACGGACCUGAGUGGGCAUGUUUCCUGGUUUUGCAGCGUGUCCGCAGAGUAGGGGAUGCGCAGGGCAAAGCCACCCGCCACCCUGGCCACAGAAUGAAGUUUCUGUGGCUCUCACCAGCUGGGGCCCAACAGCCACCAGCAUCCUCCUAAAAGAAGCUAGAAUUUUUUAAAAAAUCUAGUUUGAAGGGGUCCUUGAGACUGUCCUCAGAGACAAUUUGCAAAUUAGGAAACCCAAAAGAAAAAAGAGAGAGAGCGGGAAGAGGUUAUUUAAAAAAUGUAUUCAAGCAGCAUUUGUUUAUUUACAAAGUACAUGCUAUAAUCAUUAGUGCUGGGUCACUAGAAGGUUUACAGAGAUUAGUUAUAUUUAGUCCUUACCCUCAGGGACCUAUCAGGAGAAUCACCCCCAAAAGGGCUUCAUCCCAUCUAGUGUUUCUGUCCAUAAUUUUUAGGUCUGCUUUGCUUUGGCAGAAGUGACUCAGCUAACAAUUGGGCUGAAGACAUUUGAAAUUAGAGUUAGUGUAGCCAAUCUGAGUUCAGCCCAACUCAGCGGCGCUGAGUGAGCAUCUGCUAUAUGGUAGGUACUGGGCCCAGCACCAGGGGUGCAGAGGUGAAUGACAUAUAGUCCCUGUUCUCAAGGUUACAGUCUAAAUGUAUCCGGACUUUGAGUGGAAUAAAUGCCAUGAAGAGGCAUGACAUGCAUGGGCAGAGAGAGAAGGACCACGUGGCUGGAAAUCCGGAUGCUUUCUGAAGAAGGUGGCAAUUACAAGUUAAAACA